GACGAACGCUGGCGGCGUGCUUAACACAUGCAAGUCGUACGGUAAGGCCCUUUCGGGGGUACACGAGUGGCGAACGGGUGAGUAACACGUGAGUAACCUGCCCACAACUUUGGGAUAACGCUAGGAAACUGGUGCUAAUACUGGAUAUGUGCCCCUGCUGCAUGGUGGGGGUUGGAAAGCUCCGGCGGUUGUGGAUGGACUCGCGGCCUAUCAGCUUGUUGGUGGGGUAGUGGCCUACCAAGGCGGCGACGGGUAGCCGGCCUGAGAGGGUGACCGGCCACAUUGGGACUGAGAUACGGCCAGACUCCUACGGGAGGCAGCAGUGGGGAAUAUUGCACAAUGGGCGCAAGCCUGAUGCAGCAACGCCGCGUGCGGGAUGACGGCCUUCGGGUUGUAAACCGCUUUCAGCAGGGACGAAGCUUUUUGUGACGGUACCUGCAGAAGAAGCACCGGCUAACUACGUG
rnacentral:rRNA from 1 species